rnacentral:rRNA from 1 species
ACGGGUGAGUAAUGUAUCGGAACAUGUCCGGAAGUGGGGGAUAACGUAGCGAAAGUUACGCUAAUACCGCAUAUGCCCUGAGGGGGAAAGGUGGGGAUCGCAAGACCUAUCGCUUUCGGAGUGGCCGAUAUCAGAUUAGCUAGUUGGUGAGGUAAAGGCUCACCAAGGCGACGAUCUGUAGCUGGUCUGAGAGGACGACCAGCCACACUGGGACUGAGACACGGCCCAGACUCCUACGGGAGGCAGCAGUGGGGAAUUUUGGACAAUGGGGGCAACCCUGAUCCAGCCAUGCCGCGUGAGUGAAGAAGGCCUUCGGGUUGUAAAGCUCUUUCAGAUGGAAAGAAAUCGUGCAGGCCAAUACCCUGCAUGGAUGACGGUACCGUCAGAAGAAGCACCGGCUAACUACGUGCCAGCAGCCGCGGUAAUACGUAGGGUGCGAGCGUUAAUCGGAAUUACUGGGCGUAAAGCGUGCGCAGGCGGUUUUGUAAGACAGGUGUGAAAUCCCCGGGCUUAACCUGGGAACUGCACUUGUGACUGCAAGGCUAGAGUGUGGCAGAGGGGGGUAGAAUUCCACGUGUAGCAGUGA